AUUUGUUUCCGAGAUACGGGGUGUUAAAAUUUUUCUUACAAACUGACGAUUUAUUUAUUGCUCUAAAACCGGUUGAGGUGUGCAAAGGAAAUUUGUUUUUGGGAAUAAAUCACUGUUCUCCCUUCGGGAGCUUCAAGCCAUCCUCACCGGUGAUGGGACUAAUAAGGCUGACACAACGAAGACAACAUGGCAUCUAGAUAGACUGCAACGAAUACCAUCUCCAGCUGCAGGGGCCUAGGGCCACCAACUGCCCAGGUCUACAAGAAGUCUACAGCAGUACCAUUCAACAUCAAGAAGUUACCAUCAGAUACCAAAAGCCAUAAGUAUAAUCUACAAAUUGUUAGCUUUUAAAAGUCAUAUUUUUAUUAUAUUUUUAUGAACAAUAGACAUGAUUAGUUAAAAAUA